rnacentral:rRNA from 1 species
UACGUAGGGGGCAAGCGUUGUCCGGAUUUAUUGGGCGUAAAGCGCACGCAGGCGGUGCGGUAAGUUUCGAGUGACAGGUGGUGGCUUAACUGCCACAGGACUCGGAAAACUGCUGCACUUGAGGGCUUGAGAGGGACGCGGAAUUCCAGGUGGAGCGGUGAAAUGCGUAGAUAUCUGGAGGAACACCGGUGGCGAAGGCGGCGUUCUGGACUGUAACUGACACUGAUGAACGAAAGCCAGGGGAGCAAACGGG